CAGUUCGGAUCGCAGUCUGCAACUCGACUGCGUGAAGGUGGAGUCGCUAGUAAUCGCGGAUCAGCAACGCCGCGGUGAAUGCGUUCCCGGGCCUUGUACACACCGCCCGUCAAGUCAUGAAAGUGGGCAGCACCCGAAGACGGUGGCCUAACCCUUGUGGGGGGAGCCGUCUAAGGUGAGGCUCGUGAUUGGGACUAAGUCGUAACAAGGUAGC
rnacentral:rRNA from 1 species